rnacentral:rRNA from 1 species
CACAGCAGCACUGCCAGCCUCUGGCCUGAUCUCAUGAGAUCUCAGAAGCUAAGCAAGGCAGGACCCAGGAAGUAGUGGGAUGAGAGACUUCCAAGGAAAACCAGGUUGCUGCUGUAA